AUUGAACGCUGGCGGCAGGCCUAACACAUGCAAGUCGAACGAGUGGCGGAAGGGUGAGUAAUGUCUGGGAAACGGCCUGAUGGAGGGGGAUAACUACGGGAAACGGUAGCUAAUACCGCAUACCAGAAGAUGUGCCAAGAUGGGAUUAGCUAGUUGGUGGGGUAACGGCUCACCAAGGCGACGAUCCCUAGCUGGUCUGAGAGGAUGACCAGCCACCCUGUAACUGAGACACGGUCCAGACUCCUACGGGAGGCAGCAGUGGGGAAUAUUGCACAAUGGGCGCAAGCCUGAUGCAGCCAUGCCGCGGUUAUGAAGAAGGCCGUCGGGUUGUAAAGUACUUUCAGCGGGGAGGCGUUACCCGCAGAAGAAGCACCGGCUAACUCCGUGCCAGCAGCCGCGGUAAUAC
rnacentral:rRNA from 1 species